rnacentral:ncRNA from 3 species
CAAUGAUAACCAACCAACUUUCGUAUAAUUCCGGGAAUCGGCCCGGAAGUCUCUACUCGGUCACCGUAAUGACCAGGCUACGAAAAUUCAGGGGGCGUCC